AGUGAACGCUGGCGGCAUGCCUAACACAUGCAAGUCGAACGAACCGACAGGGAGCUUUCGCCUCUGCGGGUGGCGGCGGACGGAUGAGUAACGCAUGCAUAACCUACCUCUAUGACGGGGGUGAUAACGGGGAAAAGGAGCUACUAACAGAUCAUAUAUUGAACGGGAGGAAUCAAUAGUGAAUCACGCUUUUGGUGUUACUUAUAGCUGAAUCCGUGCCGCAUUGGCUAGUUGGUAAGGUAACGGCUUACCAAGGCGACGAUGCGUAGCCGACCUGAGAGGGUGAUCGGCCACACUGGAACUGAGACACGGUCCAGACUCCUACGGGAGGCAGCAGUAGGGAAUAUUCCGCAAUGGGCGAAAGCCUGAUCCAGCAACACCGCGUGAGUGAUGAAGGUCUUCGGAUCGUAAAACCCUUUUGUUGGGAAAGAACAAAUGUGGAUUUAACUAUGGAUGUCUUGACGGUACCUAAAGAAAAAGCCCCGGCUAACUUCGUG
rnacentral:rRNA from 1 species